AGUGAACGCUGGCGGUAGGCCUAACACAUGCAAGUCGAACGGCAGCACAGUAAGAGCUUGCUCUUCCGGGUGGCGAGUGGCGGACGGGUGAGGAAUACAUCGGAAUCUACUUUUUCGUGGGGGAUAACGUAGGGACACUUACGCUAAUACCGCAUACGACCUACGGGUGAAAGCAGGGGAUCUUCGGACCUUGCGCGAUUGAAUGAGCCGAUGUCGGAUUAGCUAGUUGGCGGGGUAAAGGCCCACCAAGGCGACGAUCCGUAGCUGGUCUGAGAGGAUGAUCAGCCACACUGGAACUGAGACACGGUCCAGACUCCUACGGGAGGCAGCAGUGGGGAAUAUUGGACAAUGGGCGCAAGCCUGAUCCAGCCAUACCGCGUGGGUGAAGAAGGCCUUCGGGUUGUAAAGCCCUUUUGUUGGGAAAGAAAAGCAGCAGGUUAAUACCCCGCUGUUCUGACGGUACCCAAAGAAUAAGCACCGGCUAACUUCGUG
rnacentral:rRNA from 1 species